UUCAUCAUGAUCAAGGUUGCUGUAGGUCAAAAGCCUCCCUCCAAAAAACAGACCUAACACUACAAAGUCUGUUAAAAGCUCAAAUAAAACCAGGCCGGAUCACUCAGGUGGGUGAAACCACGACGAUCUGAGGAACCCACGCAGACAUGGUGAUAAAUACAGAGGGAAGGAUCGAACCCAGUUUCAUAGGAGCGGUUACCGGCCUUUACUGCUGCAGACCUUCCACUCCUGACCCAGGAGGGUUCACCCACCGCUGCACCACCCGAGAGUCCCACAAUCCUCUAACACAGGAGAGAAUUUAGAAAUAAAACUUAUCUGAAGAAUCUGA